CCCUUAGAUGUUCUGGGCUGCACGCGCGCUACACUGAUGCGCUCAACGAGUUUACGACCUUGCCCGGAAGGGUUGGGUAAUCUUUUUAAAACGCAUCGUGAUGGGGAUAGAUUAUUGCAAUUAUUAAUCUUUAACGAGGAAUUCCUAGUAAGCGCGAGUCAUCAGCUCGUGCUGAUUACGUCCCUGCCCUUUGUACACACCGCCCGUCGCUCCUACCGAUUGAAUGUUCCGGUGAGCUCUUCGGACUGCGCGGUCUGCAGUUUCUGCGUUCCGUGCGGAAAGUUGUGCAAACCUUAACAUUUAGAGGAAGGAGAAGUCGUAACA
rnacentral:rRNA from 1 species